AUUGGACGCUGGCGGCAGGCUUAACACAUGCAAGUCGAGCGGGAGCACGGGGCAACCUGGUGGCGAGUGGCGAACGGGUGAGUAAUGCAUCGGAACGUACCUUUCAGUGGGGGAUAACGUAGCGAAAGUUACGCUAAUACCGCAUAUUCUGUGAGCAGGAAAGCAGGGGAUCGCAAGACCUUGCGCUGAUUGAGCGGCCGAUGUCAGAUUAGCUAGUUGGUGAGGUAAAGGCUCACCAAGGCGACGAUCUGUAGCGGGUCUGAGAGGAUGAUCCGCCACAAUGGAACUGAGACACGGUCCAGCCUCCUACGGGAGGCAGCAGUGGGGAAUUUUGGACAAUGGGGGCAACCCUGAUCCAGCCAUGCCGCGUGAGUGAAGAAGGCCUUCGGGUUGUAAAGCUCUUUCGGCCGGGAAGAAAUCGUAUGGGUUAAUACCCUGUGCGGAUGACGGUACCGGCAUAAGAAGCACCGGCUAACUACGUGCCAGCAGCCGCGGUAAGAC
rnacentral:rRNA from 1 species